GAGUCUGGAGGACGACGGGUCUCCCUUUGCAAGGCAUCUGCCCCAGGUGAGGUAAUGACACAGUCCUCGAGGGAGGGAGGGCAGGCUACUUCGUCUGGCAAAACAGGCUCAGUGGGACUGGGGUCUUCCCAAUUGUCAGCUUCAACUGCAGCCAACCAGCUGUCCCAGUUCCAGGUUUCAGGGUCCCAGUCCUCCAACCACUGCUCUACUUUUCAUAUGAGAAAUGUGGAGAGGCUGGGAAUUCAACGGGCCUUCGGAUUCUGUAACCCUCACAAUGAAAUGCUGUGUUUCCUUUCCAGCACCUUCAGCCCUGCAGGUACAGGGAGUACGAGAGUUUUGUAGGGCUGCAUGGAAGUUCUCUGGCUGUCAUAGUGUGACUUGUAAGGGAUCUGACCUUGUCAUCUGUUCCUCUGUACACUCCCAGGUACACUCAAGAGUCAUCCCAUACUGCAGUCCUGAUAGCCAUCGUGACCUUCCUGACCGUCCAGGGCGGCAGCCACUCCAGCUCCCCAGGUACUUGCUGCAGUGGACUCUUCAUCCCAGUCAACUGCAGGUGAGACCCUGGCGAACUGUGAGGCCCCUGCAGGUCAUGGGUGCCUCGAGCCCCACUUGGUCACUCACGGAGCGGAGGGCUGAAGGAACAGGGACAGUACAGGAAGAAGCUGCCGCCCCUGGAGCAAGGGGCAGAAGGGAAGGGGUUGAUGUCACUGGAAGGCUAGAAGCCAGCAUGAGGGGCGUUGAACAUCCAGAGCCCUGGAUCUCUGAGGAGGGGCUGCUGCAAUCUCUCAGGGAAGGAGGGAGCAACAUCAUCAGCUACCAGGGGGACCAGGGCAGGAGGUGAUUUCUGAGGCACCAUCUUCCAGGUCACUAACUCCUUCUUCAGUGGCAUCUACUUGUGGUUUAAUUAAUUUCUUGAGGUUUUUAUUCAAUGACUGUGCUUUCUUUUUUUAACUUCUAAAAUGCUUUUUCUUUUUCAAAUCUUUUCACUUUACUCUUAUCUUUGUGAUUCCCUCUUCUGUAUCUUUUUAUGUCUCUGGGGGCUACUGCAGAGUAGCUUUAUAUCACUAAUGCAAACGAUUUGUAAAUAUCCAUGAGAACUGCUCUCUGAUCUCAGGAGAAUGCAAAGGUGAUGUCAGUCGGUGUUUCAAAGUCCCCGAUUAAGCACAAGAGUAGGAGGUGUUUCUCUUUCUCACCCUCCUCCCUUCCUUACGUGCUGACCCAAGGCCUGGGGGAUAUUCACCUGGGCUCACCUCUGCCGCCUUCAGGACAAGCUGAUGUACCCCCCGGCAGGCCCCGGGAAUCUCCCAGUGACAAGGGAGCCAGGCUGUAGAGCGUAGCCCACAAAGGGGGGGGAGGUCAGGCUUAGAGCCCAGAGUCCUCGAUCCACACCUGGCCUCAGCCACUUGCUAGCUAGUGAUUCAGAACAAGCUACCUAACCCUUGUGUGUCAUGUGGUCCUCAUUUCCUCAUCCAGAGAGUGAGGACAGCAUCCUACCAACCUUGUAGUGCUGUGGAGAGGGUGGGAUGGCUGAGCCCAGGCACACAGCAAACCCUCGCAGCCAUUGCCAAAAAUGAUGUCAUCUGGCCUCUGACAGUUAAGGCCUGGGGAGGGGGUCGUUGACAGGGCCAGCCCUCUCUUUGACAGACCUGCUGAUUUUCCGUGAAGGCAGGCGGUGGCUUCAGUUAGAGAUUGCGGACCCGCCUUCAGCUGGGCCUCCGGGAGUCCUGAACGGGACGCCUGGGGUGACCCUUCGAGAGCACUGGUUUUAGGUGGAUUCUCGGUUCUGCUGUCUCACCUUCUGAGGCCCAUUAACUCCGAGCGCCUCGGAAACCCAGCCCCUCCCCCCACCGUUUUCAAGGCUGUUCCCUCAUGGAUCUCCCUCGUGUCCCUGCACUGAAAUAAUAUAACUAGGCUCUUCUCGUUACACAUUUCCUUGUCUUUCUCCCAAACUGGACUGGCAUCCCUGGAAGGCAGGGGCUGGAUGUCUGAGAGGCACUGCUCCCAGUCCCAGCCAAGGUAGCAGCACCCCGCUCCUCCAACACACACAGAGUGAUUUGGCCGCAGGCCGACCUACCAGCCUGGGUCCGCAAGGAAUUGACGGACCCAGCAAUUGCACUGGUGGCCGUUUAUGCCAAAGAAAUGGAAACGUAACGACGACGGGAAAACCUGUACACGAAUGUUCUCAGCAGAUUCCUUUGUAGAAGCCUAAAAGUGGGAACAAGCAAUACGUUCUUCAGUGGGUGAACGCUUGAACCAACCGUGGCUGAUCCCCGCCAAGGACUAGAGCUGCAAUACAAAGGAAGAACUAA